rnacentral:rRNA from 1 species
UGCCUAAUACAUGCAAGUAGACGCUGAAGGAGGAGCUUGCUUCUCUGGAUGAGUUGCGAACGGGUGAGUAACGCGUAGGUAACCUGCCUGGUAGCGGGGGAUAACUAUUGGAAACGAUAGCUAAUACCGCAUAACGAGUAGAUGAUGCAUGACAUAUGCUUAAAAGAUGCAAUUGCAUCACUACCAGAUGGACCUGCGUUGUAUUAGCUAGUUGGUGGGGUAACGGCUCACCAAGGCGACGAUACAUAGCCGACCUGAGAGGGUGAUCGGCCACACUGGGACUGAGACACGGCCCAGACUCCUACGGGAGGCAGCAGUAGGGAAUCUUCGGCAAUGGAGCGGAAGCUCCUGACCGAGCAACGCCGCGUGAGUGAAGAAGGUUUUACGGAUCGUAAAGCUCUGUUGUUAAGAGAAGAACGAGUGUGAGAAGUGGAAAGUGUACAUCAAGUACCGAGCUAUUAUUA